AAGACAUUAGUAAAAUGCAAAUUACACCACCUUGUCAAGGUGAAGUUGUAGGUUAAAUCCCUGCAUGUCUUA
rnacentral:tRNA from 1 species